UAAAAGCACGUUUGGUUAACCUUAACCUUAAUCACAACCUCAAAUCCAUAGUAAGUUUCGACCAACACCAACUCUGUGUGUCUCCACUUUCUGCUUCUUCAACUUCCUUUCUCGAUCCAUCUUUUGGAACCAACUCGCGCGUGCGUUGUAGACCGCACCGCACCGAACCAAAUCUAGAAGUCUCUCCAGUUCAAAAAAAUGCUCGGUGUCCCGUUCCACUUCUAGCUUUUCAUUCCUCUGGUUCAAUACCAUGACACCUGGUAAAAGUGUCUUGUUGUUUUCUUAAUCGUGUUUUCUUUAGGAAAAGAAAAAGAAACUGGGAAAUUGGGAUAUCUAAUGUUUUGGGGUUUUGGGUAGUUGAAAUGUAAUAUUGGAGUAAUUGAUUGGAUUUGACUUGGUUUGAUUGGGUUGUGGAAAUGAACCACAUCACUUAUGACUUUGUGUGUAUGCAUUUUGUUUAGUUUUCUGUCAUUGUUGCUUUUAAUUGGGACCAUGUGAGCUUCGGAAUCUAUUGUUAUUGUUUGGAAUCCGUGAAAAAUAAACACUCGCAGUUACACUAAAGCAUUUUAGUAUAUUCUAUGUAACAUGCUUUUAGCAUUUUGAUUUAAUUUAAUAGAUUAUUUUGCUGUCCCUAACCCAUUUUGCUUCCGAAUGAAAUGUGAUAUUGGAGUAAUUGAUUGGUGCUGUGCAGGGAAGAAAAAUUUAAGUUGUUAGUUGAAUUUGAAGUUUUUAUUAAUGGAUAAAAAUGUCGCCGUCUUAUCUAAUUCAUCUGCUUUAAGGUAGAAAAGAAAACGAUGGUGAUGAUGAUGCUGAUAGAAAGGUUUCUAACUUGUUUGAUUUAUUUGUUGUUGUUGUUU
rnacentral:lncRNA from 1 species